rnacentral:lncRNA from 1 species
CAGGUGUGCCUGAUGCAGUCUCAAGUUUGAGAACUGCUGGCUUUUACAGAACAUAAAGCGAAGGUUGAGCCCCAAGGGAGUGGUGGGAAGUUGCUCUAAGAAGAGACAAGGUGGCCCCUCUGGCCUGUGUGAGCGGAAGGCAGCUGCGCUGUGAGCAAGAUCUCGGGAGAUGAGAGUCUGAAGCUUAUGUGUGGCGUGUGGAAAGAAGAGGAACCAGAAAAGAAUGUUUGUGAAGUUCUGGCUUGAAUCUCGUGCCGGGAGUGUGAAGAAGGUCCUUGCUUCCCCUUCACCUUCUGCCAUGAUUCUAAGUUUCCUGACGCCUCCCAGCCGUGCUUCCUGUUAAGCCUGUGAAACUGAAAGAUGUAGGCACUCAAUGCUAGCCCAUGAAAGCAGCCACGGUGGCUGUUCCCUGCAGAGCCACAGAGGUGGAGCUGCCCAAGGCUUUGGAAUCCCAUCCCUUUCAUCAGUGUGACCUGGAUGUGAGACAUGGAGUCAAAGGUGAUUAUUUUGGAGCUUUAAGAUUUAAUGACUGCCCUGCUGGGUUUUGGACUUGCAUGGGGCCUGUAGCCCCUUUGUUCUGGCUCAUUUCUCUCUCUGCAAUGGGAGCAUUUACCCAAUGCCUGUAUCCCCAUUGUAUCUUGAAAGUAACUAACUUGUUUUUGAUUUUACAGGCUCAUGUGGAAGGGACUUACCUUGUCUCAGAUGAGACUUUGGACUGUGGAUUUUGAGUUAAUGCUGGGAUGAGUUAAGACUUUGGGGGACUGUUGGGAAGGCAUGAUUGGUUUUGAAAUGUGAGAAGAACAUGAGAUUUGGGAGAGGCCAAGGGUGGAAUGAUAUGGUUCGGCUCUAUGUCCCCACCCAAAUCUCAUCUCAAAUUGUAAUCCUCACAUGUUGUGGGAGGGGCCUGGUGGGACGUGAUUGAAUCAUGGGGGUGGAUUUCCCCCUUGCUGUUCUCUUGAUAGUGAGUGAGUUCUUGCAAGAUCUGGUUGUCUGAAAGUGUGUGACAUGUCUCCCUUUGCUCUUUCUCCAUCCUGCCACCAUGUGAAGGAGGUCCUUACUUCCCCUUCACCUUCUGCCUUAAUGUUAAGUUUCCUGAGGCCUUCCAGCCAUGCUUUCUGUUAAGCCUGUGGGUCAAUUAAACCUCUCUUCAUAAAUUACCCAGUCUCAGGUAUUUCUUUAUAGCAGUGUGAAAAUGGGCUAAUACAGAGCAUAUCCUAGGCUAUAAAAUAA